rnacentral:rRNA from 1 species
GGGUAGUUUGACUGGGGCGGUCUCCUCCUAAAGAGUAACGGAGGAGCACGAAGGUUGGCUAAUCCUGGUCGGACAUCAGGAGGUUAGUGCAAUGGCAUAAGCCAGCUUGACUGCGAGCGUGACGGCGCGAGCAGGUGCGAAAGCAGGUCAUAGUGAUCCGGUGGUUCUGAAUGGAAGGGCCAUCGCUCAACGGAUAAAAGGUACUCCGGGGAUAACAGGCUGAUACCGCCCAAGAGUUCAUAUCGACGGCGGUGUUUGGCACCUCGAUGUCGGCUCAUCACAUCCUGGGGCUGAAGUAGGUCCCAAGGGUAUGGCUGUUCGCCAUUUAAAGUGGUACGCGAGCUGGGUUUAGAACGUCGUGAGACAGUUCGGUCCCUAUCUGCCGUGGGCGCUGGAGAACUGAGGGGGGCUGCUCCUAGUACGAGAGGACCGGAGUGGACGCAUCACUGGUGUUCGGGUUGUCAUGCCAAUGGCACUGCCCGGUAGCUAAAUGCGGAAGAGAUAAGUGCUGAAAGCAUCUAAGCACGAAACUUGCCCCGAGAUGAGUUCUCCCUGACUCCUUGAGAGUCCUGAAGGAACGUUGAAGACGACGACGUUGAUAGGCCGGGUGUGUAAGCGCAGCGAUGCGUUGAGCUAACCGGUACUAAUGAACCGUGAGGCU